UUCUCGUACGAUCACCGAAGUUAAGCAUCGUAGAGCCAGGUCAGUACUUAGAUGGGGGACCGCUUGGGAACAGUCGGUGU